UUUUAGUCGCGCGGACCGGCCGUGGCCUUUAGUGUCGUGUGCCUGGUUCGUCGUGACUAUUUUGGCCCAGCGUGUCGUUGGCAUUAGUUUGUCGACGGCUCCGCCAGGUCGAGUUUACUUUGAGAAAAUUAGAGUGUUCAAAACAGUCAAUCGAUUGUAUAUCAUAGCAUGGAAUAAUAACUGAUGACCUCGGUCACCUUUUGUUGGGUUCAGAUGGCUGAGUUAAUGAUUGAUAGGGUUAGUCGGAGGUAUUAGUAUUCUGUCGUUAGAGGUGAAAUUCAUGGAUCGGCAGAAGACUGACAACUGCGAAAGCAUUUAUCUAGGAUUUGCUCUUUGAUCAAGAACGAAAGUUGGGGGAUCGAAGACGAUCAGAUACCGUCGUAGUCUCAACUAUAAACUAUACCAGCUAGGGAUUGGCAAGCGUUUGACUUGACCUUGUCAGAACCUUAUGAGAAAUCAAAGCAUUUGGGUUCCGGGGGGAGUAUGGUCGCAAGGCUGAAACUUAAAGGAAUUGACGGAAGGGCACCACAAGUUGUGGAUCCUGUGGCUUAAUUUGACUCAACACGGGAAAACUUACCAGGUCCAGACAUAGUAAGGAUUGACAGAUUGACAGCUCUUUCUUGAUUCUAUGGGUGGUGGUGCAUGGCCGUUCUUAGUUGGUGGAGUGAUUUGUCUGGUUAAUUCCGUUAACGAACGAGACCAUUACCUGCUAAAUAGUCGGCCGGUCCUUUUGGAGCGGACUGACUUCUUAGAGGGACUAGCCAUCUAUUAAGUGGCUGGAAGUUAGUGGCAAUAACAGGUCUGUGAUGCCCUUAGAUGUUCUGGGCCGCGCACGGGCUACACUGACGGAGUAAAUGAGCCUUACUAUCAUGGUCCGGGAGGAUCGUGCAAUCUUGAAACUCCGUCGUGGUUGGAAUCGACGAUUGUAAUUAUUCGUCGUGAACGAGGAAUACCUAGUAAGCGUGCAUCAUUAAUGCACAGUGAAUACGUCCCUGCCCUUUGUACACACCGCCCGUCGCUCCUACCGAUUGGAUGAGCUGGUGAGUUAAUCGGACUGGUCUUGGGCCGCCUCACGGUGGUUCCCGGAUCGGGAAACUUUGCAAACUAGACUAUCUAGAGGAAGGAGAAGUCGUAACAAGGUUUCCGUAGGUGAACCUGCAGAAGGA
rnacentral:rRNA from 1 species